AUCAUCAUCCAGUGUAAUGGGGGCUCUAUCACUGUUUUCUACUGUGUCUUGAGCUAUUUGGGCUUCUUGGUUCUGGGGACCUUUGCUGUAGUCUUCCUGGAAAGUAACCCGCCUGACAUCUUCAAUGAAACCAAAUGUCUCACCUUCAGCAUGUUGGUGUUCUGCAGUAUCUGGGUGGCUUUCCUCCUGAGUUAUAGUAGCACUCAGGGAAAGGCCAUGGUGGCUGUGGAGAUUGUCUCCAUCUUGACCUCCAGUACUGGGUUACAUGGAUGCAUCUUGCUCCCAAUUGCUACGUGAUUCUCCUUCACCCAGAAAGGAACAGUCUUCAAUGCCUAAAGAAGAAGCUGAGAAACCAUAAACA
rnacentral:lncRNA from 1 species